rnacentral:rRNA from 1 species
AGAGUUUGAUCCUGGCUCAGAUUGAACGCUGGCGGCAUGCCUUACACAUGCAAGUCGAACGGCAGCACGGGAGCAAUCCUGGUGGCGAGUGGCGAACGGGUGAGUAAUAUAUCGGAACGUGCCCAGUCGUGGGGGAUAACGUAGCGAAAGCUACGCUAAUACCGCAUACGAUCUAUGGAUGAAAGCGGGGGAUCGCAAGACCUCGCGCGAUUGGAGCGGCCGAUAUCAGAUUAGGUAGUUGGUGAGGUAAAGGCUCACCAAGCCGACGAUCUGUAGCUGGUCUGAGAGGACGACCAGCCACACUGGGACUGAGACACGGCCCAGACUCCUACGGGAGGCAGCAGUGGGGAAUUUUGGACAAUGGGCGCAAGCCUGAUCCAGCAAUGCCGCGUGCAGGAUGAAGGCCUUCGGGUUGUAAACUGCUUUUGUACGGAACGAAACGGUGAGCUCUAAUACAGUUUGCUAAUGACGGUACCGUAAGAAUAAGCACCGGCUAACUACGUGCCAGCAGCCGCGGUAAUACGUAGGGUGCGAGCGUUAAUCGGAAUUACUGGGCGUAAAGCGUGCGCAGGCGGUGAUGUAAGACAGAUGUGAAAUCCCCGGGCUCAACCUGAGACCUGCAUUUGUGACUGCAUCGCUAGAGUACGGUAG